UCUGAGUGAAUCGCCAGAUGUCAGCUGCGAGUUUUCCUGUGGAGCUAACUACACCCCAAAGGCUCUUUUAAUAGCCACAGCACUGGGCAUCUUUGGCUUUAUCAGCUGUCAUGGAGGCCAUGCAGCCAAGACCAACUGGGAUGCUUGUUGCCAUAUUUCUUUUUGUUGCACUAUUGUCAUGAUCUCUGCUUUG